UACGUAGGUGACCAGCGUUGUCCGGAUUUACUGGGCGUAAAGAGCGCGCAGGCGGUCGUUCAAGUCGAGUGUGAAAGCCCCCCGGCUCAACUGGGGAGGGUCAUUCGAUACUGAUCGACUCGAAGGCAGGAGAGGGAAGUGGAAUUCCCGGUGUAGUGGUGAAAUGCGUAGAUAUCGGGAGGAACACCAGUGGCGAAGGCGACUUCCUGGCCUGUUCUUGACGCUGAGGCGCGAAAGCUAGGGGAGCAAACGGG
rnacentral:rRNA from 1 species